rnacentral:piRNA from 1 species
CCACAACUCUCCCACUGAGGCCUCCGGG